UACGGGGGGGGGCAAGCGUUGUUCGGAAUUACUGGGCGUAAAGAGCUCGUAGGUGGUUUGUCGCGUUGUUCGUGAAAACUCACAGCUCAACUGUGGGUGUGCGGGCGAUACGGGCAGACUAGAAUACUGCAGGGGGAGACUGGAAUUCCUGGUGUAGCGGUGGAAUGCGCAGAUAUCAGGAGGAACACCGGUGGCGAAGGCGGGUCUCUGGGCAGUAACUGACGCUGAGGAGCGAAAGCGUGGGGAGCGAACAGG
rnacentral:rRNA from 1 species